GGAGCCGUAGUUAAAUGGAUAUAACGGCUGUUUCCUAAACAGCUAUUCCCAGUUCGAUUCUGGGCGGUUCCA
rnacentral:tRNA from 1 species